rnacentral:rRNA from 1 species
GACGAACGCUGGCGGCGUGCUCAACACAUGCAAGUCGAACGGAAAGGCCCUGCUUUUGUGGGGUGCUCGAGUGGCGAACGGGUGAGUAACACUUGAGUAACCUUCCCUUGACUUUGGUAUAACUUCAUGAAACUGGGGCUAAUCCCGGAUAGGAACUCCUGCUGCAUGGUGGGGGUUGGAAUGUUUCGGCUGUUGGGGAUGGACUCGCGGCUUCUCAUCUUGUUGGUGGGGUAGUGGCUUACCAAGGCUUUGACGGGUAGCCGUCCUGAGAGGGUGACCGGCCACAUUGGGACUGAGAUACGGCACAGACUCCUACGGGAGGCAGAAGUGGGGAAUAUUGCACAAUGGGCGGAGGCCUGAUGCAGCAGCGCCGCGUGCGGGAUGACGGCCUUCGGGUUGUAAACCGCUUUCGCCUGUGACGAAGCGUGAGUGACGGUAAUGGGUAAAGAAGCACCGGCUAACUACGUG